CAACUUACUGACCGUCAACGGAGGAGUAACGGCCGCUCGCUCGAUGGCAGGAAAAAGGAUGCCAACCUACUCUGAAGCACGCGGCCCACGUGCCGUUAACGGGAGAGUAUCGACCUGAUGGGAAAGAAGGAAGCGACGCCCAAAACGGAAAAGACAUUGACCUACCUACCUCACCUACUCGGAGGCACGCGGCCCACGUUUUCUUACCAACAGAUUCACCGGUCGGUAAGAGACAGCACAGCACGCGAAGUAUUUCUAACAAAGCAUAAAAAAAAAAGCGGAAGUUUGUGCUAAUUUCGUAAAAAGAUCUUUAAAAUUUAGGAUUUCUUAAGGCGUCUCAAGUUUAAAAAAAUUUCAUAAAACAACUUUAAUUGCAUGCAAAAGAUAAUUUUAUCCUCAUCAUUGUGAAAAAUUCAUACUCCAACCUUUUAGUCUCCUCUCCGCCUUUUGUUAUUUUGAAAAAAAAAAGUGAAAAUUUUUUAAACUUGCAAUCAUAUUUGGAUAAUUCUGAAAAUUAGGGUUUUUUCCUAAAAUUCUCACCGUAAGUUUAGAGUAAUACAUUAGAUAAGGACGUAUCCUCCAAGAAACAGCAUCGUUUGUCCCUUACAUCCUCUCCCAACCUUCUCCUCCUAUGUGCGUUCGCGAUAGUCCGGAGGCAAAGAGAAACCCACCUCGAAUCCGCUUAAGUCUCUCGAGAGGCUGAAGAUACUUGUUGCACAUGGAUGCUAUAUUAUCCGAGAAAGAGGUUUCUCCAGAGCUCAUACGGGAGUCACUGAUGGCAAUCUCUCAAUGUGUUCCAGAUGUGAUCACUACAGAAGGGUCGUCUGUUAACACAGCUAACACUCCUGUUGCUGAUCAAGAUGGCGGUGGUGGUACGGCAGAAGAGUAUCGAUCCAAGCUCAUCUCAAUCUCCAACUUACAAUCACCAAAUGCCCAACCUUCACCGACCUCAGUGGACAAUCUUGGUGCAUAGAAAGGUUGGAUUCCUGCUUGCAGCUUUCGACGAUUUAAUAUGUGGAAUAGUUUAAUUGCUGAACGAUGUUGCUGCUGCUAACUUAAUCGGCAAAAUACUCUUUUAACUGUGCGGUUAUCAUUUGGUAAGGAUCUAAAAACUUGUGUUACUCAAAACUUGGUUUCUUGUUUGGUUUCUCUCUAGUGCAUCGCUCUCCUUAAACAAGUCAAGAAUAUUUUAUCAAACUUCAUAUAAAAGCAUGACAUGUUUGCCACUGAUUUA